CCUACGGGAGGCAGCAGUGGGGAAUAUUGCACAAUGGGGGAAACCCUGAUGCCGCGACGCCGCGUGAGUGAAGAAGUAAUUCGUUAUGUAAAGCUCUAUCAGCAGGGAAGAAAAUGACGGUACCUGAGUAAGAAGACCCGGCUAACUACGUGCCAGCAGCCGCGGUAAUACGUAGGGGGCAAGCGUUAUACGGAUUUACUGGGUGUAAAGGGAGCGUAGACGGCAGUGCAAGUCUGGAGUGAAAGGCGGGGGCUCAACCCCCGGACUGCUCUGGAAACUGUACGGCUGGAGUGCAGGAGAGGUAAGUGGAAUUCCUAGUGUAGCGGUGAAAUGCGUAGAUAUUAGGAGGAACACCAGUGGCGAAGGCGGCUUACUAGACUGUAACUGACGUUGAGGCUCGAAAGCGUGGGGAGCAAACAGGAUUAGAUACCCCAGUAGUC
rnacentral:rRNA from 1 species